rnacentral:rRNA from 1 species
UAUCCAGACUCCUACGGGAGGCAGCAGUGGGGAAUAUUGCACAAUGGGGGAAACCCUGAUGCAGCGACGCCGCGUGAGUGAAGAAGUAAUUCGUUCUGUAAAGCUCUAUCAGCAGGGAAGAAAAUGACGGUACCUGAGUAAGAAGCCCCGGCUAACUACGUGCCAGCAGCCGCGGUAAUACGUAGGGGGCAAGCGUUAUCCGGAUUUACUGGGUGUAAAGGGAGCGCAGGCGGCGCGUUAAGCCUGGUGUGAAAGCCCGCGGCCCAACCGCGGGACUGCAUUGGGAACUGGCGCGCUGGAGUGCCGGAGGGGUAGGCGGAAUUCCUAGUGUAGCGGUGAAAUGCGUAGAUAUUAGGAGGAACACCAGUGGCGAAGGCGGCCUACUGGACGGUGACUGACGCUGAGGCUCGAAAGCGUGGGGAGCAAACAGGAUUAGAUACCCUGGUAAG